rnacentral:rRNA from 1 species
GAUGAACGCUGGCGGCGUGCUUAACACAUGCAAGUCGAGCGAGAAGUUUUGAAAAGAUUCUUCGGAUGAAAUUUAAAAUGGAAAGCGGCGGACGGGUGAGUAACGCGUAGGCAACCUGCCCCAUACAAAGGGAUAGCAUUUGGAAACGAAUAUUAAUACCUUAUGAAACUUAACUAGUGCAUGCUAGGUAGGUCAAAGAUUUAUCGGUAUGGGAUGGGCCUGCGUCUGAUUAGCUAGUUGGUGAGGUAACGGCUCACCAAGGCGACGAUCAGUAGCCGACCUGAGAGGGUGAACGGCCACAUUGGAACUGAGACACGGUCCAAACUCCUACGGGAGGCAGCAGUGGGGAAUAUUGCACAAUGGGGGAAACCCUGAUGCAGCAACGCCGCGUGAACGAUGAAGGCCUUUGGGUCGUAAAGUUCUGUACUAGGUGAUGAAAACUGACAGUAACCUAGGAGAAAGCCCCGGCUAACUCCGUG